GGUAAUACACAGUGUAUUUAAGCUGUUGUUGCUUAAUUGCCUCAGACUACUCAAAUAACAUCAACAACAUUUCUUAAGUAAAAUUUAAAUAUUUUAGAUGUAAUUUUAAAAACUGAUCCAAAUUUUUUAUUAUACAACUCACUCAUAUAUUUGAAAGUCUUCACUAGCAUAGUAGCAUCACCUUCAUCUAAAUGUCAUUUAAAUUACUGUCCCCCUUUUUCCUCCCAAAAAGACAAUGGAUUUGUACCAAAACACACACAAAAAAGGCAAACAAAACAUGAUAAUCUGCAAAAGUUCAUGUAUCUACUUCAUUGUGCAUAGGAAGUGUUUACAGGUAAAAUUAAAAUCAAAAAUUGAAAAAACACUCUUCAUUUUGGCUCUCCUUUCUGAAUUUUUUCAGUUUCCUGUCUCUACCCGCCAUCCUUUGAGUGAUACUAUAUCUGUAUUGGACCAAAUGUAUUUACUGGUUUCAUUUUGUUUAUUGAAUGACUUUAAAUGUAUUUAUUAUCAUUGUUUAAUUUAAUGUUGGAUAUAUUUGUAUCAUUACAGGAAUCUGGUAAUAAUGGGCAAAUUUAGAUUGAUGAGGCUUAGGGAUCGGGGAUGCUCCAGGAUUCAACAUUUCUUCCAAUUGUUCAUGGUUUGUUCUAAAUUAGGACAGAUUAAGAACUAAUAAAACAUUAUUACAUUUGAACUUGACUCAAUAAAAAUAUUCUGAUCUCCUUUAUGAAUAUUAGGAAUAUUCUUUGUGAUUAGUGUAAGUAGUUUGGAUCAAAACAUAAAAAGAAGACCUAUGGUUUAUGCUACUUCUAGUUAUUUGUAGUUCACAGUAAAACAUGCACAGACAUACACACAAACAUUUUCAUCAAUUUCGAAUUUGAAUUGUGAAAAAUAUAUAAGAAAAUAAAAACAAUUUAUACAUUUGAGCAAAUUGAGCAAUCACAUUUAUUGCAUUUAUUUCCCUUUUUCCCUUUUUUCACUCAUUGAAAGUGUGGGUUUUCUAAAUAAUAUUAGACACUAACACUCAACAGAUUUAUUCACAAAUGACACAAGUACACAUUUUAAGACUUCUUUGUAUUUCUUGCAAUUAUAACCAAUCACUAGUCAUGAAAUAUACCUACAUAAACCAAGUCCUACACUUUCAGUGAGGAAGAAUGUAAGGAAGGUAUGUUGACUGUUUUCAAGUUUCAGAAAAGAUAUUUUCAUAUGAUAGGAUUGAGUAUCAUGGGUAUAGUUUGAUCUUGACAUAUAGUUUGAAAAUCAUACUCAAAAGAUUUGCAUUCAUGAAACCAGUGAACAAUAGGGUGGAAUGGAUGAACCAUCUCCUUGGAAGACAGGGCCCAAUUUUCAAUUUUUUCUUUGGCUAUCAAGUUGCUAGUCACUUAUUCAGGAUUUUCAUCCAAACUGUGUUUGGACUGACUGUAUAAGUCUUACUGCCUUUUCAGAAAUCUGCUUUCCUUUGUGUGAUUUUUCUUGUACUGUAUAGCACGGUUUAUGCACCUCUCUUUAGAUGGUGUACUUUAAAAACAAAAGUAAAAUUUAGAAAAUGGUUUUAACACUGCAUACCUAAAAUUAGUAGUGUGCAGCAUUGACUGCCUUUGAUUUGUAGUAGACAAGUAAAAAUGAAUACGUUCUUGUAGAAUGCUGUAAAAGUUAUUCAGGAAUGAAUACGGUUUUAGUGCCGUAAUCAUGAAUCUUUUUAUAUGAAUGCACUGUCUAAAAGUGCUAAAUGCAUUUUCAAAUUUUUAAAAAUUCCUCAGAUGAUAUAUUUGAAAUGUCUAAAAUAAUGCUGUGCUUGAAACAUUAGUGUAAAAGGAAAAAAAAAAUAGUGUCACUGUGAUGUUGGUCCUCCCUGUGUGGACACAAGUAGAAAGAAAAAACUUGGCAAGUCACCUUUGUGUACAAUUUGAGGCAGUGGUUAUAUACAAUAAAUUGACCUUUAUUAUAUCCCCCAGACACACACAUUCUUGGUGAGAAAAGAACAACCAUCCAGAAAUUGAGAUGAGAACUUUUGUGAUCUGUAUGAAUCACAGCAGAUCAUGGGGGAGGAGGAUUGGCAUGCAGUGCUGUUGAAAAUUGGGCUUGUUGUUAGAUCAGAACAACCUCCAUGUAUAUGGUUAGAACGAAUCAAUUAAUGGAAUCCUAGUAUUUCUGCAAGUUUGGUGAUUUUUAAAAACUGGAAUAGAAGCAUUAAUUCAGUGCUUAGUUCUAGUAUUAGAAAACCCCUUUGAUGUAAUGCCUUGUAUUAACCCUUUGAGCAUUGUAAGAUAUACAAUGGGGGACAAAAGCCUUUCAGAUCAUUUAUUUAGACUUAGACCGGUAAAGUAUACUCUAUAUCCAAAUGUCUAAUUAUGCUGUUUUUUUAAAGGGGGGGGUAGGAAGAGAAAGUGUUUCCACGCCGAACACUUGCAUUUUAUAUACAACUCUUAAUUUUUCUUCAAGAGGGCUUGAUAUAUUUAUUCCCAAAUAUUCACUGCCAUCUAAGUAAGUGUACUGUUUACAGAAAAAAAAAAUCAACUUUUCUAGUAUCACACCAUAGUCUCUAGAAAAGGAGGACAAAUACAUGGGCCUGGAUAGACCUAUGUCAUAACUGAUUUCUGCACAUUGAAGGUACCUAGAUUGCCUUUAAAAGGUAUAAAGAAAGGGUUAAGUUUCUUUUUUUUUUGUCUUUUUUUUCCCAAAAUGAAUCAAAAGAUCUCAUUUAUUUAGCUUUAGAAAGUACAAGUGUAAGUAAAGCCUUAGGAAGAAAGGAGUUCGAGUGGAUUAAGAGAAUCUGAACUCUUUGGGGGCAGUUAGGCUAUUUGGAGUUAGAUCGCUCAUAAAAUAUUGUUUGCGAAUUUCACACAGGGCAUAAUUUUAUCUAUGCUCCAAAACUUUAAUACGUUGUCAAAAAAUUAUAUAUAGAUAGAAUGGAGAGCAAAGCACUUGAUUUUAAGCUCAUCUGUCAGGAGAUGCUAUGACUACUGCUUCUGAUAUCUCUAAAUGUCAGUCUGCUUACACCAUUGCUGAUUUUGUUCAAGGGAAUCUCUUCGUGCACUUGAUUCCCUCUGUUCCCUGCGUGAUCGAACAUGAAAGCAGUGUUGUCUGCAGAUGUGCUUGCGCUGCCCUAGCUGGGUGCAAAUAAGAGUGUAACCUAUUCUGAUGUCUGGUGAAAGGACAUCCAUAGCAUAGUGCAAGUAUGCCGUAAACGUUGCUUUUUAGGCAGUUUAGGAAGUCAGACCAUGCAAAUUACUCAUGUGUUAACAUGCAAUACUCAAAGGGUUUUAAUUUAACUCUCUUCUUUUGAAUUCUUCAUGAUGAUUUACUGUAAAUGCUUCUCAGUUUGCAUGCCUUGAUCAUUGCUGCUAGUGAUUUUAUGUGCCAGUAGACCUGAGUUUAGUUUACCAAUUUUACUUAAAUAGUAAAAGCCACUUACAAAGUGACUGCCUAGGAUUUUUUUUUCCUUUCAUUUGAAAUAAUUGAUAAUAUGUUUUUUUAAAAAGAAAAAUGUGUUUUGUCUCUUCUUUUAUUUGGUUCUGGUUUGAUUCUUUUUCUCCCCUCUUUCCUUUGUUUUUUUUUUUUAAAUAAAUUAUGAUGUUGGGAUUGGAAGCCCUGAGUAAUGAAAAUCUUUGGUAAGAAUUGUUUAUGUAGCUCAAUAACGAGGACAACAAAUAUUCUUUAGAAGAAUUUUGAUUCUGGGGAGGAAAGAAAAUAUAAAAACUCCCAUUGACUGUUGAUAACCAAGUAAAUUUUUCCUUCAGUAAAUUAGUAUUUUUGAAGAAACGAUCGCCUUGUUUUAACUUGCUAAACAACAAUUUUAAAUGACCCAAUAAAGAAUCUAUUGAACUUUAUUCGUUUAAAAAGCAUCUUUUGUACCAAAGCAAAUUUUUUUCUCUACUCAUUUCCAUCAUCAAUUUGGACCUAUGGUGGUGACCAAUGCAUUGGUUACAGAAACUUUAAGUGAGUGCCUUGAGAAAACUUGGAAAUUUGUGCCUGAGGUGGUAAACUUUUAAUUAGGUUAAUUGUAGUGCUUACCAAUCAGUAACUUCACUAUCACUCAGGGCUUUCGUACCUUCUAGGUAAAACUUCUUUCAUUGUGUUUUUUUAAGAUACUGUAUUUUUUUUUAAGUGCCAUCAUUUAAAUUUCACUUAGUAAGUGGCAGAUUACAUUAUUCAGUCCCACAAGCACAGAAACAUAGUAACACUAGGAGAUAUUUGAACAUUUAUUUUACAAUCGACUGAAUAUAUUAUGUAAAUGAGGUAAGCAACUUUUGUAGAGAUUGUAUGUGUGAGAUAAUGUAAUGUUCUUUUCCAGUUUUUGGACUACAGUUGAAUAAACUUUUUAAUUAUUUAAAAACAUCUUUACCGAAUAACAUGUGAUGGUUUUUUGUAUAAUGUAUUUGAUUUUGUAAAUACGUAUUUCCUGAUGUGAUUUUUGUGAGAAAUGCUAAAUCUUUUAGUAUAUCAUGUCCUCUCAAAAUUGGCAGGAGCUAAAUAAUAGUUUGUGGGCGAUUUGUAUUGUGUACUGUACAAUAACUGGGGAACUUUUAUAAUUAUAAAAAUAUAUAUUAACUUUUAGUGUGUUGUUUAAACAAAUGACUGGAACAUACUAAAGAUAUUAGUAGGAUUUUUCUGAAUAUUUCAGACUUGAACUCAGGCUAGCUUUCUUGUGUUUUUCAAAACAAAAUGGUGUCUUGUCUUUUAAAAUCAAUAAAUUUGUUUCCUUGUUAC
rnacentral:lncRNA from 1 species